GGUUAAGCGACUAAGCGUACACGGUGGAUGCCCUGGCAGUCAGAGGCGAUGAAGGACGUGCUAAUCUGCGAUAAGCGUCGGUAAGGUGAUAUGAACCGUUAUAACCGGCGAUUUCCGAAUGGGGAAACCCAGUGUGAUUCGUCACACUAUCAUUAACUGAAUCCAUAGGUUAAUGAGGCGAACCGGGGGAACUGAAACAUCUAAGUACCCCGAGGAAAAGAAAUCAACCGAGAUUCCCCCAGUAGCGGCGAGCGAACGGGGAGGAGCCCAGAGCCUGAAUCAGUGUGUGUGUUAGUGGAAGCGUCUGGAAAGGCGCGCGAUACAGGGUGACAGCCCCGUACACAAAAAUGCACAUGCUGUGAGCUCGAUGAGUAGGGCGGGACACGUGGUAUCCUGUCUGAAUAUGGGGGGACCAUCCUCCAAGGCUAAAUACUCCUGACUGACCGAUAGUGAACCAGUACCGUGAGGGAAAGGCGAAAAGAACCCCGGCGAGGGGAGUGAAAAAGAACCUGAAACCGUGUACGUACAAGCAGUGGGAGCACGCUUCGGCGUGUGACUGCGUACCUUUUGUAUAAUGGGUCAGCGACUUAUAUUCUGUAGCAAGGUUAACCGAAUAGGGGAGCCGAAGGGAAACCGAGUCUUAACUGGGCGUUAAGUUGCAGGGUAUAGACCCGAAACCCGGUGAUCUAGCCAUGGGCAGGUUGAAGGUUGGGUAACACUAACUGGAGGACCGAACCGACUAAUGUUGAAAAAUUAGCGGAUGACUUGUGGCUGGGGGUGAAAGGCCAAUCAAACCGGGAGAUAGCUGGUUCUCCCCGAAAGCUAUUUAGGUAGCGCCUCGUGAAUUCAUCUCCGGGGGUAGAGCACUGUUUCGGCAAGGGGGUCAUCCCGACUUACCAACCCGAUGCAAACUGCGAAUACCGGAGAAUGUUAUCACGGGAGACACACGGCGGGUGCUAACGUCCGUCGUGAAGAGGGAAACAACCCAGACCGCCAGCUAAGGUCCCAAAGUCAUGGUUAAGUGGGAAACGAUGUGGGAAGGCCCAGACAGCCAGGAUGUUGGCUUAGAAGCAGCCAUCAUUUAAAGAAAGCGUAAUAGCUCACUGGUCGAGUCGGCCUGCGCGGAAGAUGUAACGGGGCUAAACCAUGCACCGAAGCUGCGGCAGCGACACUAUGUGUUGUUGGGUAGGGGAGCGUUCUGUAAGCCUGUGAAGGUGGCCUGUGAGGGUGGCUGGAGGUAUCAGAAGUGCGAAUGCUGACAUAAGUAACGAUAAAGCGGGUGAAAAGCCCGCUCGCCGGAAGACCAAGGGUUCCUGUCCAACGUUAAUCGGGGCAGGGUGAGUCGACCCCUAAGGCGAGGCCGAAAGGCGUAGUCGAUGGGAAACAGGUUAAUAUUCCUGUACUUGGUGUUACUGCGAAGGGGGGACGGAGAAGGCUAUGUUGGCCGGGCGACGGUUGUCCCGGUUUAAGCGUGUAGGCUGGUUUUCCAGGCAAAUCCGGAAAAUCAAGGCUGAGGCGUGAUGACGAGGCACUACGGUGCUGAAGCAACAAAUGCCCUGCUUCCAGGAAAAGCCUCUAAGCAUCAGGUAACAUCAAAUCGUACCCCAAACCGACACAGGUGGUCAGGUAGAGAAUACCAAGGCGCUUGAGAGAACUCGGGUGAAGGAACUAGGCAAAAUGGUGCCGUAACUUCGGGAGAAGGCACGCUGAUAUGUAGGUGAAGUCCCUCGCGGAUGGAGCUGAAAUCAGUCGAAGAUACCAGCUGGCUGCAACUGUUUAUUAAAAACACAGCACUGUGCAAACACGAAAGUGGACGUAUACGGUGUGACGCCUGCCCGGUGCCGGAAGGUUAAUUGAUGGGGUCAGCGCAAGCGAAGCUCUUGAUCGAAGCCCCGGUAAACGGCGGCCGUAACUAUAACGGUCCUAAGGUAGCGAAAUUCCUUGUCGGGUAAGUUCCGACCUGCACGAAUGGCGUAAUGAUGGCCAGGCUGUCUCCACCCGAGACUCAGUGAAAUUGAACUCGCUGUGAAGAUGCAGUGUACCCGCGGCAAGACGGAAAGACCCCGUGAACCUUUACUAUAGCUUGACACUGAACAUUGAGCCUUGAUGUGUAGGAUAGGUGGGAGGCUUUGAAGUGUGGACGCCAGUCUGCAUGGAGCCGACCUUGAAAUACCACCCUUUAAUGUUUGAUGUUCUAACGUUGGCCCCUGAUCGGGGUUGCGGACAGUGUCUGGUGGGUAGUUUGACUGGGGCGGUCUCCUCCUAAAGAGUAACGGAGGAGCACGAAGGUUGGCUAAUCCUGGUCGGACAUCAGGAGGUUAGUGCAAUGGCAUAAGCCAGCUUGACUGCGAGCGUGACGGCGCGAGCAGGUGCGAAAGCAGGUCAUAGUGAUCCGGUGGUUCUGAAUGGAAGGGCCAUCGCUCAACGGAUAAAAGGUACUCCGGGGAUAACAGGCUGAUACCGCCCAAGAGUUCAUAUCGACGGCGGUGUUUGGCACCUCGAUGUCGGCUCAUCACAUCCUGGGGCUGAAGUAGGUCCCAAGGGUAUGGCUGUUCGCCAUUUAAAGUGGUACGCGAGCUGGGUUUAGAACGUCGUGAGACAGUUCGGUCCCUAUCUGCCGUGGGCGCUGGAGAACUGAGGGGGGCUGCUCCUAGUACGAGAGGACCGGAGUGGACGCAUCACUGGUGUUCGGGUUGUCAUGCCAAUGGCACUGCCCGGUAGCUAAAUGCGGAAGAGAUAAGUGCUGAAAGCAUCUAAGCACGAAACUUGCCCCGAGAUGAGUUCUCCCUGACUCCUUGAGAGUCCUGAAGGAACGUUGAAGACGACGACGUUGAUAGGCCGGGUGUGUAAGCGCAGCGAUGCGUUGAGCUAACCGGUACUAAUGAACCGUGAGGCUUAACCUU
rnacentral:rRNA from 1 species